UUGCCGUAUGUUACAAGUGUCAUACGGGACUGCCGGUAGUCAAGCCGGAGGAAGGUGGGGAUGACGUCAAGUCAGCAUGGCCUUUAUAUCCGGGCUACACACACGCUAUAAUGGUCAGUACAACAGGUUGCAAAGCCGCGAGGUGGAGCCAAUCCAUAAAGCUGGCCUCAGUUCAGAUUGCAGGCUGCAACUCGCCUGCAUGAAGUUGGAGUUGCUAGUAACCGCGCGUCAGCUAUAGUGCGGUGAAUACGUUCCCGGGCCUU
rnacentral:rRNA from 1 species